rnacentral:rRNA from 1 species
AUUGAACGCUGGCGGCAGGCCUAACACAUGCAAGUCGAGCGGAUGAGAGGAGCUUGCUCCUCGAUUCAGCGGCGGACGGGUGAGUAAUGCCUAGGAAUCUGCCUAGUAGUGGGGGACAACGUUUCGAAAGGAACGCUAAUACCACAUACGUCCUACGGGAGAAAGUGGGGGAUCUUCGGACCUCACGCUAUUAGAUGAGCCUAGGUCGGAUUAGCUAGUUGGUAGGGUAAAGGCCUACCAAGGCGACGAUCCGUAACUGGUCUGAGAGGAUGAUCAGUCACACUGGAACUGAGACACGGUCCAGACUCCUACGGGAGGCAGCAGUGGGGAAUAUUGGACAAUGGGCGAAAGCCUGAUCCAGCCAUGCCGCGUGUGUGAAGAAGGCCUUCGGGUCGUAAAGCACUUUAAGUUGGGAGGAAGGGCUCAUAGCGAAUACCUGUGAGUUUUGACGUUACCAACAGAAUAGGCACCGGCUAACUUCGUGCCAGCCGCCGCCGUAA